rnacentral:rRNA from 1 species
CACGGAGUUAGCCGGUGCUUCUUCUGCGAGUAACGUCAAUCGCUGCAGCUAUUAACUACAACGCCUUCCUCCUCGCUGAAAGUGCUUUACAACCCUAAGGCCUUCUUCACACACGCGGCAUGGCUGCAUCAGGCUUGCGCCCAUUGUGCAAUAUUCCCCA